UGGUUUCCCGCUCUUCCGGGCGAAGAGGGGAAUGAAAAGGGAAUCGGGUGCAAAUCCCGGACAGUCCCGCUGCUGUGAAGCUCCGCAGAAAGUUCCGAAUAUCUCAGCCACUGGCCGCAAGACCGGGAAGGCUUCGGAACAGGAGUCAGUCAGAAGACCUGCCAGGUCGAU
rnacentral:ncRNA from 1 species